CGGCCGCAGUACCCUGACUGUGCAAAGGUAGCAUAAUAAAUUGAUUUUUAAUUGAAGUCUAGAAUGAAAGAAAAUACGGAAAUUAACUGUCUUAUAAUAAAGGUUUCGAAAUUACUUAAAAGGUGAAAAUUCCUUUAUGAAGAAAAAAGACGAGAAGACCCUAAGAAUUUUAAGAAAUAAAUUUCAUAUAAGUUUAACCUUUUUACUGGGGCGGUAAAGGGUUAAAAAAAUUAAUAAACAUCCUAAAAUUUUUUUAUCAAGUUUUACUUAAAUUAAAUAAAUUACCUUAGGGAUAACAGCAUAAUUUUUAUUAAGUUUGUGACCUCGAUGUUGGACUAGGAAAUUUAAGACUAGCUGUCAUAAAAAGCGGUUCUGUUCGAACCUUUUCUCCUAC
rnacentral:rRNA from 1 species